rnacentral:rRNA from 1 species
GAUGAACGCUGGCGGCGUGCCUAACACAUGCAAGUCGAACGAAGCGCCUGGCCCCGACUUCUUCGGAACGAGGAGCCUUGCGACUGAGUGGCGGACGGGUGAGUAACGCGUGGGCAACCUGCCUUGCACUGGGGGAUAACAGCCAGAAAUGGCUGCUAAUACCGCAUAAGACCGAAGCGCCGCAUGGCGCGGCGGCCAAAGCCCCGGCGGUGCAAGAUGGGCCCGCGUCUGAUUAGGUAGUUGGCGGGGUAACGGCCCACCAAGCCGACGAUCAGUAGCCGACCUGAGAGGGUGACCGGCCACAUUGGGACUGAGACACGGCCCAG